AUUGAACGCUGGCGGCAGGCCUAACACAUGCAAGUCGAACGGUAACAGGAAACAGCUUGCUGUUUCACUGACGAGUGGCGGACGGGUGAGUAAUGUCUGGGAAACUGCCUGAUGGAGGGGGAUAACUACUGGAAACGGUAGCUAAUACCGCAUAACGUCGCAAGACCAAAGAGGGGGACCUUCGGGCCUCUUGCCAUCGGAUGUGCCCAGAUGGGAUUAGCUAGUAGGUGGGGUAACGGCUCACCUAGGCGACGAUCCCUAGCUGGUCUGAGAGGAUGACCAGCCACACUGGAACUGAGACACGGUCCAGACUCCUACGGGAGGCAGCAGUGGGGAAUAUUGCACAAUGGGCGCAAGCCUGAUGCAGCCAUGCCGCGUGUAUGAAGAAGGCCUUCGGGUUGUAAAGUACUUUCAGCGGGGAGGAAGGGAGUAAAGUUAAUACCUUUACUCAUUGACGUUACCCGCAGAAGAAGCACCGGCUAACUCCGUG
rnacentral:rRNA from 1 species